rnacentral:lncRNA from 1 species
GGAUCGAUGAUGAGUCCUCCAAAAAAAACAUUCCUUGGAAAAGCUGAACAAAAUGAGUGAAAACUCAUACCGUCAUUCUCAUCGGAACUGAGGUCCAGCACAUUGCUUCCUCUGGGGCCUUUACUAGUGAGGGACAACUUCCACUAGUCCCUAUAGGUUCUAACACCCAUGGCGUUCACAGGUGAAGGUCUCCUGUCAUAUUACAAACAUUCCCCCCACUCCCCUCCCAAAAAAAGGAACAUUUCCUCUGUGUCAGGUACACAGGUCAGAGAGUCAUAGGGUGACUGGCUGCUCUGUGAUGGCAUAGUGGCCGUGGAAGUGGAUGGAAAUGUCGCAGGCUUAGGGGAGUGUGGGGCUGGCCUCGGCUUGGUGAGCUCCCAGGAAGGGGGACCUGGAAAUCGCUGCGGGCAUCCUUGCAUAGAGGACCAGCAGCAGUUGUCAUGAGAGGUCUGCCGCUUGCUGGCAAGGAAGAUGGUCAAUUCUUCUGACCAACAGAGGCUGCCUUGAGUCCUGAUUUGGUGUGGCCUGGCAUCUAUGGUGCACCCAAUGCUGGUGAGUGGCUCAGGGUGGUAAGCAUUCCUCUGCCCUGUGUGCAGAGGUGUCUUUUGAAUUUUGAGACCUGCAAAGAGCUGUUUCUCAGCAGGCCACUAAUGGCAUGGCGAGUUCCACUCCCAGAGCUGAUUGUCUGUGUUCAUUGCUCAGUGGUGUGGCUCUGGGUUCCCCCCAGGAUGCUGAAGGUGUUUAAGGUCAUCAGCUCUCCCACUGCCCAGCCUGUGGUGUCAAAUGUUCUGCCUCUUCGAACGUGCUUGGAUCGAUGAUGAGUCCCCCAUAAAAACAUUCCUUGGAAAAGCUGAACAAAAUGAGUGAGAACUCAUACCGUCGUUCUCAUCAGAACUGAGGUCCAG